rnacentral:rRNA from 1 species
AUUGAACGCUGGCGGCAGGCUUAACACAUGCAAGUCGAGCGAGCGGCGGACGGGUGAGUAAUGUCUGGGAAAAUGCCUGAUGGAGGGGGAUAACUACUGGAAACGGUAGCUAAUACCGCAUACCAUCAGAUGUGCCCAGAUGGGCUUAGCUAGUAGGUGGGGUAAGGGCUCACCUAGGCGACGAUCCCUAGCUGGUCUGAGAGGAGGACCAGCCACACUAGAACUGAGACAAGUUCCAGACUCCUACGGGAGGCAGCAGUGGGGAAUAUUGCACAAUGUGCGCAAGCCUGCUGCAGCCAAGCCGCGUGUGUGAAGAAGGCCUUCGGGUUGUAAAGCACUUUCAGCGAGGAGGAGUUACUCGCAGAAGAAGCACCGGAUAACUCCGUGCCAGCAGCCGCGGUAAUUC